rnacentral:lncRNA from 10 species
ACUGGGUCCCUCCCACAACACGUGGGGAUUAUAGGAACUACAAUUCAAGAUGAGAUUUGGGUGGGGACACAGCCAAACCAUAUCAACAGCCCAGCAGCUACUUCAGUCCUCCUUAAUUUAUCUCUUGAAUUCUCCCAAACCCAGCUCAUCCCUGGCUUGUUUCUCUUAUUCUUUCUCUCGCCUUCUGAUCCAUUCUGCUUUCGUUAGUAUGUAACUCCCUGCCUUCUCUUAGGUAGACCCAUCAACCCAUCCUACCCAUGGUACUGCACAAUUCAGAAUCCUUUCCCAAAUUUUCCCUUAUUAUGCACAAGAAAUACUCCAGGGCCAGGUGCAAUGGCUCACGCCUGUAAUCCCAGAACUUUGGAAGGCUGAGGCAGGAGGAUCGCUUGAGCCCAAGAGUUCAAGGCUGUAGUUAGUGAUGUUGGUGCCACUGCACUCCAGCCUAGGCAACACAACAAGACACUAUCUCAAUUAAAAGAAAAAAAAAGAAAAAAGAAAAAGAAAUACUCCAGAACUUGGCUAGUGAAGACUAAUUCCUCCUUCACAGGAAGGAAGUGGGGGCAGGGGAAAAUGAUGCUGUAAAUACUCUAAAAUAUGUAUUUUUUCCUGUCCCAUCAGCUAUGCCAUCUGGGAUGGGGUGACGCCUGGAUGAGAUGUCAUUUUAAAGGACAUUUCUGGGACAUGCUGGCAUCAAGGCAAGUUUUCAGAUGCUGAGUCCUGCUCUGUAGCUUGAGUGGAGCAGGAGAUGGGUCCGUG